CAGUAGCCGCGGGAAUACGAAGGGUGCAAGCGUUAAUCGGAAUUACUGGGCGUAAAGUGUGCGUAGGCGGUUUGUUAAGUCUGCUGUGAAAUCCCCGGGCUCAACCUGGGAAUGGCAGUGGAUACUGGCGAGCUAGAGUAUGGCAGAGGGGGGUAGAAUUCCACGUGUAGCAGUGAAAUGCGUAGAGAUGUGGAGGAAUACCGAUGGCGAAGGCAGCCCCCUGGGCCAAUACUGACGCUCAUGCACGAAAGCGUGGGGAGCAAACAGGAUUAGAGACCCCGGUAGUCCCUGUCUCUUAUAC
rnacentral:rRNA from 1 species